rnacentral:rRNA from 1 species
AUUGAACGCUGGCGGCGUGCCUAACACAUGCAAGUCGAGCGGUAACAGGUGUAGCAAUACAUGCUGACGAGCGGCGGACGGGUGAGUAACGCUUGGGAAUCUGCCUAUUAGUGGGGGACAACCCGGGGAAACUCGGGCUAAUACCGCAUACGCUCUACGGAGGAAAGCCGGGGACCGGCAAGGCCUGGCGCUAAUAGAUGAGCCCAAGUCGGAUUAGCUAGUUGGUAGGGUAAUGGCCUACCAAGGCGACGAUCCGUAACUGGUCUGAGAGGACGACCAGUCACACCGGAACUGAGACACGGUCCGGAC